ensembl:misc_RNA
GAACAACCUCCCUGAAAAGGCAGCUCACCUCUGACCCGUGGCACAAAGCUCAAAUAACCCUGCCGGGUCCUACAAGCUUUAGGAUUAAUUGCACUGAACUUGAUACAUAUCGUACAGCACCUUGAAAAUGAAUCAUCCGCUAAGUCAGUAUUUUCUAAUUACAAUCACUCCCUCUCGGGGCAUGUAAUUAAUUUACUGAGUUAAAAAAAAAAAAANN